AGUAACUGGCCGAAAGUCACGCAGCCAGCGGACUAGAACCCAUCUCUUCCCGACUCCAAAAGCAGCAAAACAUCUUUGUGGCCCAAGAAGCGCCAAGUGUUCAGUUCUCCAAAGGGAGCCAGAUGGUUGAUUUUCACAGCCACUCC
ensembl:lncRNA